CUAUACUCUGCCGUCAACGGCACAGGGGGCGGCACACUAGCGUGUGUCGGGCCGUUACGCCUUGACGAGUAGGAGGGUCGCGGCGGUGGGCGCAGAAGGGUCUGGGCGUGAGCCUGCCUGGAGCCGCCGUCGGCGCAGAUCUUGGUGGUAGUAGCAAAUACUCCAGCGAGGACCUGGAGGACUGACGUGGAGAAGGGUUUCUUGUGAACAGCUGUUGCACAAGAGUCAGUCGAUCCUAAGCCCUAGGAGAAAUCCUAUGUCGAUGGGGAGCCGUUUGAAAAUUGACGGGCGCGCUCAUCCAGCGCGCUUCCGAUAUCGGAAGGCAACCCACGGGGCGAAAGGGAAUCCGGUUCCUAUUCCGGAACCCGGCUGCGGAACCGUUCCUAAGCGGGCCCUCAUCCGAGUGCUCGACGGGGCAACCCGAAGAGACCCGGAGACGCCGGCGGGAGGUCCGGAGAGAGUUUUCUUUUCUCUAUAAGCGUUCGAGUUCCCUGGAAGCCUAUAGCAGGGAGAUAGGGUUUGGAACGCGAAGAGCACCGCAGUUGCGGCGGUGUCCGGAUCUUCCCCUCGGACCUUGAAAAUCCGGGAGAGGGCUACGCGGAAUGUCCGCGCCGGAUCGUACCCAUAUCCGCAGCAGGUCUCCAAGGUUA
rnacentral:rRNA from 1 species